rnacentral:rRNA from 1 species
UACGUAGGGGCCAAGCGUUGUCCGGAAUUACUGGGCGUAAAGCGCGCGUAGGCGGUGAAAUAAGUCAGUUGUAAAAGGUAUAAGCUCAACUUAUAUAUUGCAACUGAUACUGUUUUGCUAGAGAGCGGGAGAGGAAAGCGGAAUUCCUGGUGUAGCGGUGAAAUGCGUAGAUAUCAGGAGGAACACCGGUGGCGAAAGCGGCUUUCUGGACCGAUUCUGACGCUGAGGUGCGAAAGCUAGGGGAGCAAACAGG